UUUCCGUAGGUGAACCUGCGGAAGGAUCAUUACUGAGUGAGGGCCCCUCGGGGUCCAACCUCCCACCCGUGUUUAACGAGCCUUGUUGCUUCGGCGAGCCCGCCUCACGGCCGCCGGGGGGCAUCUGCCCCCGGGCCCGCGCCCGCCGAAGCCACCUGUGAACUCGUCUGAAGUAUGUAGUCUGAGACAAUUAUUAAAUUAAUUAAAACUUUCAACAACGGAUCUCUUGGUUCCG
rnacentral:misc_RNA from 1 species